GGGGGCGGGGCCUGCCUUAAAGGAGCCUCGGCACCGGCGCCAAGGGUGGGCGCGCCGGUCAGGGCUGCGGUGUUACUGAGCUGUCAGAGACCAAGGAAGACACCAAGCGACGCAGGGGCACUUUGAGACCCUGGGGAAUAAAGAAGAAGAAAUACUCAGGGAGACUCUCAGGAAGGAACACAGAGAUUCCGGUGGAAGGAAGGAGAACCAUGCACAGAGCAUACCCGGGUGCCAUAAUCCACGGCCCAAUGAUACCAGAAAAGACAACAGCAUUUAAAAAACAUCUGGCUUUAACCUGAAAGCUUUCCCCCUAAAAAAAGGAAAAACGGGGCCAGAGAUUUGGCUCAGUGGUUCUGCUGUCUGCCUUGCAAGCACAAGGUCCCGAGUUCACUCUCCAGUACCAACGAAGUAAAAUAAGGCAAAAGGCAAGAACGUCUACCACCACCACUCCCGUACAAUAUAUGCAAAACAUUAGCCAGGGCA
rnacentral:lncRNA from 1 species